rnacentral:snRNA from 1 species
GAGUGUUACAGCUCUUUUAGAAUUUUUCUAGCUGGCUUUCUGAUCUUUAC